GUCUUUAAAAUUAAAGGAUUUGGCGGUAUUUUAGUCUUUUCAGAGGAACCUGUCUUUUGAUCGAUAAUCCACGAUAAAAUGAACUUUUUCUUUUAUUUUAUAUAUCGUCGUUUAUAAAAAUUUUAUUAUUUAAUUUUUUCAGAUCAAGGUGUAGAUGAUGAGAAAGUUAAGGUGGGUUACAUUAUGAACAUGUUAUAAAUUGGAUUUGAUAGUAAGCUCUAAAAUAUGCACAUAUCGCCCGUCGCUUUCAUUAUAAGAUGGAAUAAGUCGUAACAAAGUAGGCUUAUUGGAAAAUGUGCCUGGAAUGCAAGUUAGAGCUUGAUAAGCAUUUUAUUUACAUUAAAAGGUUAAUUGUGAGAUUCAAUUUAACUUGAUGAUAGAAGGUUAUUUUUAUUAUGAAUUUAUUUUGUUUAAAAGAAAUAUAUUGUUUUUUAUUUUUUGUUCGAAUAGAUUUUAUGAUAGUGUAAAGUAUUGUGAAAGAAUUUUUUUAUUAAUAUUAAAGUACUUUUUGUUUAAGGUACCUUUUGUAUCAGGGUUUAUUAAUUUGGUCUUCUCGAAUUUAAAAGAGUUAGUUUUACUGUAGAAAAAGUAUUUUUAACUUGAAUCUUGAAAUGAAACGUUAUUCGUUUUUAAAUAUAUCUAGUUUUUCAAGAAAUUAAUUUAAUUUGUUUAUUAUAAUUAUUUUUUUUAAGGGAUAAGCUUUUUAGUUUAUAUCUAUAAUUUUUUAUUUUUGAAAAAAAGUAGGAUUAGAAUUUUCUAUUUUUAAAAGGAUGUUAUAAUUUAAAAUUUUAGGUUUUUUAUUGAAAUUUAGUUUUUAAUUUAAUUUGUUUAGGAAUAAUGAUGAAAUUAGUAAGGUUAAUAAAAGGAAUUCGGCAAAAUUAAUUUUCACCUGUUUAAUAAAAACAUGGCCUUUAGAAUUUUAUUUAAGGUCAGGCCUGCCCAAUGAUUUAAUGGCCGCAGUAUUUUGACUGUGCAAAGGUAGCAUAAUCAUUAGUUUCUUAAUUAGGAGCUGGAAUGAAUGGUUUGAUGAAAAAUUGACUGUCUUUAGAAUUUAAAUUUUAAGUGAGAAUGCUUAAAUUUUUUAUAAAGACGAGAAGACCCUAUAGAGUUUUUUUGUUGGGGUGACAUGAAAAUUAAAUUAACUUUUUAUUUUGAUGAUUAUAUGAUCCUGGAUUAUAAGAUUAAAUUACCUUAGGGAUAACAGCGUAAUUUUUUUGGAAAGUUCUUAUUG
rnacentral:rRNA from 1 species